rnacentral:rRNA from 1 species
AUGUGUGGCUAAACCUCCUUUCAAAGCCUGAUCUCGUCAGGUCUCAGAAGCUAAGCAAGGCAGGGCCUAGUUAAUACUUGGAUAGGAGAUCGCUGGGAAUUCCAGGUGCCACAGUGG